rnacentral:misc_RNA from 1 species
AACCAUAGAAACCUGCGGAGUACCUGCGGAAGGAUCAUUACAGAGUUCAUGCCCUCACGGGUAGAUCUUCCACCCUUGAAUACUAUACCUUUGUUGCUUUGGCGGGCCGCUUUGGCUACUGGCUCUGGCUAGUAAGUGCCCGCCAAAGAACCCCAAAACUCUGAAUAUUAGUGUCGUCUGAGUACUAUAUAAUAGUUAAAACUUUCAACAACGGAUCU